AGGGAGCGGAGAGGGAGGAGGGAGGACAACAAAGGGGUGUGAGGGGCCGCGGCGGCAUGUGAGGGGCGGCGGCGCUGCGGGCAGCUCAGGUGGGAAGAAUGAAAGGAAGGGGGGAUGAAAGAAUGUUGAGCCUUUUUGCUUGGCUGUAUGAUGGAAGGAAACAGGACAGAGAACCUCUGCGAUAGGUCAUUUGGAUGGCUUCAGCGACAAGAGAAUGAUGCUAAACCAUGGCUCUGGAAACUUUCUAAUUGCUUUUCUGCUGCUGAAAAGUCUUUGCCUUGCAGUGCGAAAACGAAAGAUUACAUGGAGAACAAGAAAGCUGCUGUAGAACUGAAGGAUGCUUCAUCUCCUCACAAUGCUGGCUCUAAACUCUUUCCAGCAGUACCGCUUCCUGAUGUUCAUCCUCUUCAGCAACAGCAAAUACAGCUUUCACCGGGCCCAAAAGUAAGCUGCUGUGCUCAUGGCUCUGACUCUUCUUGUACUCCACAAAUGCAUUGUGGUGGUGGUGGUGGUAACUUGAUUCACCCUGGCACAAUAUUAGACUCACAAAGCACUGGGACGAUUACUUGUCAAGUAGGGUCGGGAUUUGCUUAUCAGUCUGCAUCUUCACUGAAGAACCCUCCAGCUAGAAGCAAUUUGGCAGGCAUUGCGAGUGAGUUCCCUGGCAUGUGUGUAGAAAACAGUGUAUCUUCUUGUCAACAUCUGCCCUGUUGUGGAAAACUCCAUUUCCAGUCCUGUCAUGGUAACGUGCACAAACUGCAUCAGUUUCCUGCCCUUCAGAGCUGCCCGUCAUCUGGCUAUUUUCCUUGUUCUGAAUUCACAAGUGGGGCUACAGGCCACUUGGAUGAGCAUAUUGCACAGUCGGAGCUAACAUCACGUGUGUGCGCCAACCCUUUGCACCUAAACAUGGCACCUUCAGUUUGUUUAAAGGGCUCUCACUACUGCAAUGACUGCUUGAGCAAGCCAACCAGAAACAGCCUAGUUGAUGCUGCUAAAAUUUGGCCAAAUAUUCCUCCUCCAAGUACACAGACUGCACCUGUUCCUAUCCCAAUAUGUAAUGGCUGUGGAACUAAACGAACAGGAAAUGAGAAGAGUUUGCUACUGGCAAGCAGCCUUGGCAAAUCACCGCAGAAAUAUGGAUCUCCGGAAGUUGCAGCAACAGGCCAAGUUCUGGAAAACUUGCCCCCUAUUGGAGUCUUCUGGGAUAUUGAAAACUGCUCAGUUCCCACUGGCCGUUCAGCUAUUGCAGUUGUACAGAGGAUUCGUGAAAAGUUUUUUAAAGGUCACAGAGAGGCAGAGUUCAUCUGUGUGUGUGAUAUUAGUAAAGAAAAUAAAGAAGUUAUUCAGGAGCUAAACAACUGCCAGGUGACUGUUGCACACAUCAAUGCUACAGCAAAGAAUGCUGCUGAUGACAAACUCAGACAGAGUCUUAGGAGAUUUGCUGAUACACACACUGCACCUGCCACUGUGGUUCUUGUGUCAACGGAUGUAAACUUUGCUUUGGAACUCAGUGACCUGAGACAUCGACAUGGUUUUCGAAUAAUUUUGGUGCAUAAAAACCAAGCUUCAGAAGCACUCUUACAUCAUGCUCAUGAGCUUAUUUGUUUUGAAGAAUUUAUUUCAGACUUGCCACCAAGGUUACCACUGAAAAUGCCGGCAUGCCAUACACUAUUAUAUGUUUAUAAUCUGCCAACAAACAGAGACAGCAAAAGUGUCAGUAAUAGACUCAGGCGUUUGUCAGACAACUGUGGAGGAAAGGUGUUGAGCAUUUCUGGAAGCAGUGCAAUUCUCCGUUUUUUAAAUCAAGAAAGUGCUGAACGGGCUCGGAAGCGAAUGGAAAAUGAAGAUGUUUUCGGUAACAGGAUUGUAGUGUCUUUUACUCCCAAAAACAAAGAACUUAAUGAAACAAAAAGCUCCAGUUUUGUGGGAACUGAAAAGGUGAAGUCUCCCAAAAAAAUUAACAAGAACACAAAGCUGUGCCUCCUCAACAAAGACUCAAGUGAUCAGUCUUCUGGUACCAAAGGCUCUGCUGGGAAGGGAUUCCAGAUUCAUGGAUCUAUCAUGAAACCCGCAAAUGUUAAAAGUUUACAGGAGCUGUGCCGCCUUGAAUCAAAGACUAUCAGUAGGAAUGUUGAAAACCAGCAAGAACAUUUAAGAGAACAAAUUCCUUCUCCUCAGAGUAACUCUAAUGCAACGAUUCCUGUACCUCUGGCAACCAAAAAAAUUGGAACAGGAGAAUCAUCCUGUAAAAGUAGUCAGAAAAAAGAGACCACUGCUUCCAGGAGCAUUACCAACUCCCCUGUAGAUAAAAAAGAUAAAGAUGAAACCGUAUUUCAAGUCAGCUAUCCCUCUGCUUUCAGUAAGCUGACAGCCUCAAGACAACUCAGUCCUUUACUUAUGUCUCAGAGUUGCUGGUCAUCUCGGAGUAUGUCUCCAAACCUCUCAAAUAGAUCAUCUCCACUGAUGUUUAAUGUAGUAAAUCAUACCAGUGGUACAGACUGCCCUGAUCCUUUUGCAAAUGGUGCAGACAUUCAGAUCAGCAAUAUAGAUUACAGAUUGUCCAGAAAAGAGUUGCAGCAAAAUUUACAAGAAAUUUUCUCAAGACAUGGCAAGGUAAAAACUGUAGAGCUCAGUCCUCAUACAGACUACCAGUUGAAGGCAACAGUUCAGAUGGAAAAUUUGCAAGAAGCAAUCAGUGCUGUCAACGGUCUUCACAGAUACAAAAUUGGCAGUAAAAGGAUCCAGGUCUCGUUAGCAACGGGAGCUGCUAGUAAAUCACUCUCUCUACUUAGCUCAGAAACGAUGUCCAUUCUGCAGGAUGCACCUGCUUGUUGUCUGCCUGUGUUCAAAUUUAUAGAAAUCUAUGAAAAAAAAUUUGGGCAUAAAUUAACUGUAUCAGACUUAUAUAAACUAACGGAUACAGUAGCAAUACGUGACCAAGGAAGUGGGCGGCUGGUGUGCCUUUUACCCAGCAGCCAAGCCCGGCAGAGUCCAUUGGGAUCUUCACAGUCACAUGAUGGUUCAUCAGCAAACUGUAGUCCUAUAAUAUUUGAAGAGUUGGAAUAUCACGAGCCUGUUUGUAAGCAGCAUUGCCUGAAUAAAGACUUUAUUGAGCAUGAGUUUGAUCCAGAUUCUUAUAGAAUUCCUUUUGUGAUUGUGUCUCUGAAGACAUUUGCUCCCCAAGUCCACAGUCUUCUACAGACGCAUGAGGGUACUGUGCCUUUACUAAGUUUUCCUGAUUGUUAUAUGUCGGAGUUCAAUGAUCUUGAAAUAGUGCCAGAAGGCCAGGGUGGUGUUCCUUUAGAACACCUAAUUACCUGUGUUCCCGGAGUUAACAUUGCCACUGCCCAAAAUGGAAUUAAAGUUAUUAAAUGGAUACAUAACAAACCACCACCUCCUACUACAGAUCCUUGGCUUCUGCGUUCCAAGAGCCCUGUAGGUAAUCCACAACUUAUCCAGUUCAGUAGAGAAGUGAUAGAUCUACUUAAAAGCCAACCAUCCUGCGUCAUACCUGUCAGUAAAUUCAUCCCAACAUACCAUCAUCACUUUGCAAAACAAUGCCGUGUGUCUGACUACGGGUAUUCUAAAUUAAUGGAGCUGCUAGAAGCAGUGCCUCAUGUACUGCAAAUUCUUGGUAUGGGUUCCAAACGCUUGUUAACUCUAACACAUAGAGCUCAAGUGAAGCGCUUUACUCAAGACUUACUGAAGCUUCUCAAAUCCCAGGCCAGUAAGCAAGUUAUCGUGAAGGAAUUCUUACAGGCUUAUCACUGGUGUUUCUCUAAGGACUGGGAUGUCACUGAGUAUGGAGUGUGUGAACUGGUUGAUAUUAUAUCAGAAAUUCCAGAUACAACUAUCUGUUUGUCACAGCAAGACAAUGAAAUGGUAAUUUGUAUUCCCAAAAGAGAACGUACACAAGAAGAAAUUGAAAGAACCAAACAAUUUUCUAAAGAGGUAGUAGACUUACUGCGCCAUCAACCCCACUUUCGAAUGCCCUUCAAUAAAUUUAUUCCUUCUUAUCAUCACCACUUUGGUCGUCAGUGCAAACUUGCUUACUAUGGUUUUACAAAACUACUUGAACUCUUUGAAGCCAUACCAGAUGUCUUACUUGUUUUGGAAUGUGGGGAGGAGAAAAUUCUCACACUUACAGAGGUGGAACAAGUCAAAGCAGUUGCUGCCCAGUUUGUUAAACUGUUGCGGUCUCAGAAAGACAACUGCCUUAUGAUGUCUGAUUUACUGACGGAGUACAGUAAAACAUUUGGAUACACGCUGCGUCUUCAUGACUAUGAUGUUAGCUCGGUUCCAGCUUUAAUGCAAAAACUUUGCCAUGUUGUCAAGAUUGUUGACACGGAGUCUGGCAAGCAAAUUCAGCUGAUAAAUAGAAAAUCUCUGCGCACUCUGACAGCCCAGCUCCUAGUCUUGUUGAUGUCCUGGGAUGGAACAUCCUUUCUCUCCGUUGAACAGCUUAAACAGCAUUAUGAAACAGUCCAUAGUACUUCGCUUAAUCCGUGUGAAUAUGGAUUUAUGACCUUAACUGAACUCCUGAAGAGUCUGCCCUACUUGGUUGAGGUUUUUACCAAUGGUGCAGCAGAAGAAUAUGUGAAGCUUACAAAUCUGUAUAUGUUUGCAAAGAAUGUAAGGUCCUUACUUCAUACUUACCAUUAUCAGCAGAUUUUUCUUCAUGAGUUCCCAGUAGCAUAUAGCAAAUACACAGGAGAAAUGCUGCAACCUAAAGCAUAUGGAUGCAAUAAUUUAGAAGAGCUCUUGGGAGCAAUUCCACAGGUGGUCUGGAUUAAAGGACAUGGUCACAAGAGAAUUGUGGUACUAAAGAAUGAUAUGAAAACUCGUUUUAGCUCACCUAGUUUUCCCCCUGCUGAUCAUGUGGAUGAUCAUGGAAAUCAACUUGCUGACAAUAAUGGACAUAGUAUGGAGACCCCAGGAUCCACUUCAUCAAUGGAACUAAGUCUAGGAACACCUAGCAAUGUUUCUAAUCAAACUGAGCAAGAACUUCUUUGCCUCACAAAUACAUCUCCCAUUGACCUCUUGUGUGAGCCAGUUCCUUCGUGCCUACCAUCGCCACAACUGAGACCUGAUCCAGUGGUUCUCGAGUCUGCAGACCUCAUUCAGUUUGAGGAACGCCCUGCACCUCUCUCUGAGAUAAUGAUUUUAACAGAAGAAGAAAAACAAAGAAUUGUUGGCACAGCUCAAGAAAAGUUGACCUCUAGUUCAGUGGUAUCUAACACCAUGGAGAGUGCUUCGGUGCCUCCCUGUCAGUCCUCUGAAACCCAACUAAACAAGGAAGCAAUGGACAGUCCAGCCAAAAAGCAACACAAAAACAAGCAUCCUUGUCACUGAUCCUCAUUCUUUAGGAAGAAUUGGAAGUGAAACUCCACAGCAAAGUAGUUGAACAUCACACUAUUUUGAAAUGAUGAAGGAAGGUGGUUAUUGACUGCUAUGAAGAUUUCAAGGCCUCUACUUUGUUACCUAUGAAGAAUUACUGUGAUUAAUGCUUAAUUUGCAGCAGGAAAAAAAAAGCUUAGAAAUCACUUUUUUCUUGCUUUGCCUCUUUGUCUGUGGAGCAAAGGAUCAUCUCCUCUUACUAGUGAAGGUAGAAGCUACUUUCUACUUCCUUUCAAUUUAUCCUCUUCCCAGAUUGAGAUGUGCUCUCCUAUUAUAUCCUUCAGGAAACUGCCUGCCAAAUACAUGCAUCCUGAAUUGUGGCAAAGCACUGCACAAUCAGUGUACUAAAAGACUGAUCCCAUGUCUUCUGCUGAAACCAAAGAGCAGGUCUCUAUAUAAAUCUCUAUACUAAAAGGAAAAUUCUGAUGAAGGUGUUAUGAAAGAAUCCAUUUUUGGAAAGUGUUUUUCUAGGUUAGGCACAUACUGUGUCAGCAGUUAGCUCUGUGUGAAAGCCAGCAGCUUGUCUUCAUUAAGACAAAAGUAUUCUUGUGAGUCUGCCAAAAGAUGGUGCUGCUGGAACUGCGCAUUGUUAAUACUUAAGUUUGCUGAGAUUUGCAGAGUGCUAAGGAGAAACUGCUGCCUGUGGAUCUCUGCUUAAGAGUUUGACUGGAAAAUAAUUUCUAAAAGGUUUUUUUUUUUUAAAAAAGAAGCCCACCAAAAAAAUUAAAACCAAUCAACCAUAACUGUAAGUUAAAAGUAAGGGUAGGAAAGCUGCAGGCUAGAAGAGGUGAAGCAAGGGGAAUAAUUCACAGUUAUUUUGUAGGAUUCAUAAUCCUUUCCAAUACCAUUUAAACCAAUAAUGUACCAACAGUGUUGUUAGAAAUUAAAAAUGUGACCUAUAAAUAACUAAGUAUUAUAAAGAAAGAAAAAGAAAGAAAAAUUAUGAAUCUAGUUUUGUUGCAAAGAAAAGUAGAAAAGUUUUUAUACAACUAAGAACAUCUGGCCUCAGAGUAGAACCCUGUUUCCUAUUUCAUGAGUGACCUCUCUCCUUUCUGGGGAGAAAGUUGUCCUCUAAAGUCACACAAUAAAAUGUAGAGGGGGAAAAAAUGAGGAUAACCAAAGGAGUGUCAAAACUCGUCCUUAAUAGUUAGGCAGCAGCAAAUUAUUUCUGAAGGGUGCUAGAGGCCAUGCAGUGUAAAUGGCCAUCUAGUGUAAAUGGCCCAUUGCAGUUGCUGAACUUUUUGCAGGAUCUGUCUGUACUCUUUUCUUGAGCAGAGAAGGGCUGUUGUGGAUGAGCUAAACCAGCAAAGCUGUAGUGAGGCAAAAUUCCUCAUUGAUUUCAAGCUGGAGUUUGGAGUUAAGGACUGCAAAACUGUCCACAACUCUGUCCCUCCUUAGAGCAGUGAAUUUUCAGAGAAUUAAGGCAAAACACAAAGCAGGCUUUUGCCACUUGCUUUCUGUAAAAAAACCCAUUUUACUUUAUUCUAGAAGGUAGAUUUAACUACAGGUGUGACAAUGAAUUGGUAUAUCUUGGAAAAAAGCAAUCGUGUUCACAGUGAUGGUUAUAAAUCCCUCUCCUUUCUCCCUUUUAUCUCUGGUAUCUCAGCACUUUGUCUUUUCUACCUGACAGUCUCUGUGCCACCUGGUUCCCUUGAGAUUGCCAAGGGAGUGCAAGAAUGAAGGAACGUGUACCUUGUUUGAGUGAUACUUGCCGGGUUGCUGCCAAGGGAGCAGUGAAAUACAGCAUGAAAAGAAAUUUGGAGACCAGGGGAUUAAAGAUGGGAGGGAAAAAUAAGGGUUAAAGGAAAGAAUUAUGGAACUCAACAUUGGGAGCAUGUUUCUGAUUGUUAGGGGUAGAGGUGUGUUCCUGAUGCCAUCCCCACCUAUGUAUCACCCAAGUAUUAUCCUAAUAUUGGGUUGGAGAUAGCCAUUACCU